rnacentral:rRNA from 1 species
ACGAACGCUGGCGGCGCGCCUAACACAUGCCAGUCGAACGAGCGAGAGAGAGCUUGCUUUCUUGCGCGAGUGGCGAACGGGUGAGUAACGCGUGAGGAACCUGCCUCAAAGAGGGGGACAACAGUUGGAAACGACUGCUAAUACCGCAUAAGCCCACGACCCGGCAUCGGGUUGAGGGAAAAGGAGCAAUCCGCUUUGAGAUGGCCUCGCGUCCGAUUAGCUAGUUGGUGAGGUAACGGCCCACCAAGGCGACGAUCGGUAGCCGGACUGAGAGGUUGAACGGCCACAUUGGGACUGAGACACGGCCCAGACUCCUACGGGAGGCAGCAGUGGGGAAUAUUGCACAAUGGGGGAAACCCUGAUGCAGCGACGCCGCGUGGAGGAAGAAGGUCUUCGGAUUGUAAACUCCUGUUGUUGAGGAAGAUAAUGACGGUACUCAACAAGGAAGUGACGGCUAACUACGUG